UCCAUCGCCUGCCCGGGUAAGGAUUUUCCCGAAAAUCUAAAUUCGCAAAGGGCCUGGGACGACAUACAAUGCAAAAUUACUUAUGACUGUCUUUUAAGCCGCAGUACAGGUUCUGCACGCGCCAGACUGCUAGCAGCCGGUUCCAGCGAGUCCGCCGCUUGGCUGCACGCCUUCCCGUCGGUGCACACCGGCACUUUCCUGGGGCCGCACACUCUGCGCGUUGCGGCCUGCCUGCAACUCGGCGUCCGGGUCUGUGCUCCACAUAGGUGCCCCUGCGGCACUGACGUCGACGCCUUCGGACACCACGGGCUCUCCUGCCAAAGGAGCGCCGGCCGCUUCUCUAGACACGCCGCGCUUAACGAUAUUCUCCGCCGGUCCCUUACCAGCGUCAACGUACCGGCUCUUCUCGAGCCUCCUGGUAUAGUAAGAGACGAUGGUAAGAGACCAGACGGAACGUCACUAAUUCCGUGGAAGAUGGGACGGGUGCUGGUGUGGGACGCCACCUCCGGCGCGGCAGCAGAGACGGCCGAAACAUUAAAAAAGACCAAAUAUAGGGGUCUCGGCCCCGAAUAGAAUUUCGUACCUUUUGGUGUCGAGACCCUUGGCCCGUGGAGUCCGAACGCGUCUACGCUUUUUAAGGAUCUAUCCAAAAGGAUAGCUGACGCCACUGGUGACCGUAGAUCUGGCAGCUUCCUCGCACAAAGAAUAAGUAUUGCGAUACAGCGAGGAAAUGCUGCCAGCAUCUACGGCACCAUUCCGCAGGGGGAUAGUUUUUAAUUAUUUAUUUUAAGAUUAGUUUUAUUUAUUUUUAGAUUUAGUUUUUAAGUUUUGUAGGU